CCGCGUCCGCCCGCCCGCCGUCGCCGCCCGCGGGCGCCCCCGAGGCCCCCAGAUCAGAGUGAGAGGCGCUGGCAAUGGACUAGGAAGCUCGGCUGCCGCUGCUACUGCUCCCCCCUGGGCUCCGGAGAGAGCCUUUCCCUGUCAAGCAAGAGGGGUGAGGAUCAUAUUUUUAUUUUGGAAACUAAAAAGUGCUCCCAGGGUCUGUGAUUAUUAAGGGGAAAUCCCUGAAUAUACUCUCCAGCCAAGAAGGCAGGGCUGCCGGGGCUGCACAAGAAGAGGCAGCAGCCUCCUACAGCACCACUACAGGCACUGCGAGGACAUAACACCAGAGAGCCGCUCCUCUGCCCUCCGAAACGACAACUUUCCUACCAUCUUGGAGGCAGAGGAAAGGGGGGCUAGGGGGAAAAGUGCACCCGCUCUCGAUAAAGUACAAAUUUCUACUUCUCAUCUUUGGAAAAAAGUCCACACCGGCCGUCUACACCGGCGUCUGGGGGAAAAAGCAGGGAAGAAACUGGGGAUGCUUGAGAAACGUUUUCAUUUGCACCAGGGAGAAAAAUGUUUCUGCAUCUUCUGAUGGAAAGAAAUCUUUACAAGACCCAGGUUUUCCGGGCCAAAAGCUAUCCUCUGGGAACCAGAUGGUCACUGGCAGCAGCAGGAGCAAGACGUGUCCCUGGUGCCAUUUCACUGCCUUCUCAUCAUGCUGCGGGCAGAGAAUUGUGAUGUCACAGCCUAGGCUAGAAGCAUUCUUGGGCCAUUCCACAGACUCCCUUACCUUAGGCUAAGGAAAACAACUCUGCAACUGAAGUCAUAGUGUAAGUAAUGAUUAGUAGAAAGAAACAGCCUAGAACAGUAUUAAAAACUGGACUUGGGGGCCGGCCCGGUGGCUCAGGCAGUUAGAGCUCCAUGCUCCUAACUCCGAAGGCUGCCGGUUCGAUUCCCACAUGGGCCAGUGGGCUCUCAACCACAA